CGGACCUCGGAGCGCCCCCACGGGCCGGGCUUUUGCCUUGUUGCCAGUGGGAGUUUGUCUCCUUUUGUCGGGACGCGGUGUGCAGGGCCUUUACUGUCUCUGCGCGUUUACCUGCGGGCCGACCGUUUACUGUGAAGAAA
rnacentral:rRNA from 1 species